AGCCCUAGCCAAUCUCCUUUCUCCGAGUCCCACUGGAGUAGUGCUGCUUUUGUGGAGCUGAGGUUGCAGCCCCUGUGUAGCUUGUGGAUUCCAAAGGGAUGCUAGAUGCUGGUGGCCAUGGGUUUUAGUCACCUCCCCGUGUCCAGAGUCACUUCUUCCUGGUGGAAGUGACUUGCCUUUUCCCUUUUGAUGACUGCAUAUUUAAUGCUGAGGCUGAUAGAGCCUGACUGUCUCCAUCAUGAAAAGGUUUUUAUGUCAUUAAUAUGCUGAUUUGGUUCAUGAAAUAGAGAGUAAACUGCCAGUGUGGUUCGGUGCUGGGGUGGCUCCUUUUUCUCUUCCUUUUACAAGGAAAAAAAAAAGACUCUAAAUUGUGCUUUACGAAUUAUCUUUCUCCCCUUUUAUAUUUGACUUUGAAAAUCUAUCUUAAAGGAACAACUCUGAAAGUUUCCAUUCCAACAUCUGCCUUUGGAUGUAACCCUUUGAGUGUAUAUAUUCCCCAUGCUAGAUGACUUUAUGGCUUUGGACACCUCUUCCUUUUAGUUGUCAUGAGCAUGCUGUGCCCUGGACUUCCCUCAGGGUCACUUUGGCAUCUAAAGGACAGUGACUGCCCUAGAUGGUGCCUUUUGGUAUCCAAAUGAGUCCUCUGCCUCUGUUGCCUUCCCUCUCUCCCAGCCCCUCCUCCCCCUCCAUUCCUGAAGAAGAGUCUUAAAAUUUAUGUCUUUAUGAUAAAAUUCAAUAAACAUCCAACCACUAGAUUAUGAUGAGUGCUAAGGGGAAGACUCAGAAAACACAUACCCAGUCUCAUUUUGGAGGCCACUUUUCAACAUAAACGGACAGCCCUUGGGGGAAGCCAGCCUCCCACAUGUGAGUGGAAAAGAAACAGAGGUGUUGCCUCCUCUGCGUCAGGACCUCCUCCUCCCUGGGCUACAGUGCAGUCCUGCUCUUGCUUAAUUAAUCCAUUAAGGUCUAUCUUGACCCUACUCGGUAAUGAUCGAGGGGCUCACCGGAGCCAUCUAGAAGGGGGGAAUUAGAUGGAUAAUGAUUUCUGUGCAGAUGAUGUGUUCUGUCUUUUUAUAUAGUUGGUCCCAUGAGGGACAUAUUUCUUCGGUGUAUCCCUGAUGAUGUUCUCAAGACAGAUAUAUUACAGAGGAAUAAAUCAGGCUAUUAGACAUUGCUAGUGUCUAAUUCUUCAUGUGUAAAGUCUGUGUUUUAAAUAUCAAGGCUUUGUAAGAUGUAUUUUUAUUAAUGUAAUGGUAAGUAAGGUAGUAAGCUAAGUUUGAGAAAUUUCAUUUCAGUAUUAUUUUUCCUGCACUCAGGUGCUCUUAUGGAAUAUUUAUGUUCCCCGCCUUGUCCUGAUUGCUCCCUCCUACAUCAGUCAGUAAACUGUUUAAGAGGGUUCCUCCUCAAUCCAACUCAACAAGUGUUUACUGAUACCUGAAGUGGGCAUAACAGUUGACAAUUCUAAAAAAUCAGGAGGCUUAAAUGCUUUCUACAGCUUAAAGUAUUAAAACAGGACAAGUUGUUGUUUGUUUUAAACAGUUAGUUGAAAUCAAGGCUAAAGUUGAGGUCAGCAGUUCAAUGAUAUUGAGGGCCAACUGUAUGUUUUCUUACCUUCCUUAGCUAACUUAUACGCAACUGGAAUAUCUAUUUAAAAUGCACUGUAUCCUUUGUAAAUGCUGUGAGGAGAGGCAGCUGGAGUAGUUCUUACCUUGAUUUAGAGAGCUGGCAGUAAUCACAGAAAUCUCGCGCACAAGGCUCUGCCGUUUGACUUGUAAUGUGAAUGAAGGGAGGAUGUUCUUCAGUGCCUAGGGAUUAUUCCAGAGAUGUGGCCUCGUGUGAGAAAAGUUUAGAGGUGGAGAGAGAAGACUCUCAGAGGGGACAAGGCAACGGCAGCAAUGACUUACUUACUGGAUUAAGGUGGGCCCAGGUGGCACCAGUUGAUGACAGGUUAGAAGAGCAAACAAGUCUCAUAGGAGAUUUGAGUACAGGGCGUCUAGAAUUCACAACUGAGAUGACAUAGCCUAACAAUCCACUGGAAGACAGAAGACAGAGUGUCAGUAAUCAGACAUGGAGAGCAUGUUUAGGGUAAGGGGCACUUUUCGUAUCCUAGAUAGAGUGUGAUCAGAGCCAGUCAAGGAGAGCAGUGAAAGGGUAUACAUUAGUUAAGGUCAAUCUAGGGAAUUUUCUAGAUUUUAUACCCAGGUAUAUAGAAGAUAAUAUCUUUUUUUAAAAAAUGUGAAUCUUUAGCAAAAGAUUGGGCCAUUGGAUGUGACAUGGACUAUAGUUAUGCAUAAUGUAACUAGCAGAAUAAUUUAAACAUGAAAAUGGCAUGAUCCUUGUUAUGUAGAAUUUGAGGUGCUAACAGAACAGAACAGCCAUUCUGAAAAAGGAGGUUUUAACCAAGUUAAAACUUAUCUACUUAGUUCAGUAGCCUAGGCUAUGAGAAAGUGGAUAUCUUGAAUGUAU
rnacentral:lncRNA from 1 species